rnacentral:rRNA from 1 species
GACAGAGGGUGCAAACGUUGUUCGGAAUUACUGGGCGUAAAGCGCGUGUAGGCGGCCCUGCAAGUCGGAUGUGAAAUCCCACGGCUCAACCGUGGAAGUGCAUUCGAAACUGCAGGGCUAGAGUCCUGGAGAGGAAGGUGGAAUGCUUGGUGUAGAGGUGAAAUUCGUAGAUAUCAAGCGGAACACCGGUGGCGAAGGCGGCCUUCUGGACAGUGACUGACGCUGAGACGCGAAAG